GACGAACGCUGGCGGCGUGCCUAAUACAUGCAAGUCGAACGAACUCUGGUAUUGAUUGGUGCUUGCAUCAUGAUUUACAUUUGAGUGAGUGGCGAACUGGUGAGUAACACGUGGGAAACCUGCCCAGAAGCGGGGGAUAACACCUGGAAACAGAUGCUAAUACCGCAUAACAACUUGGACCGCAUGGUCCGAGUUUGAAAGAUGGCUUCGGCUAUCACUUUUGGAUGGUCCCGCGGCGUAUUAGCUAGAUGGUGAGGUAACGGCUCACCAUGGCAAUGAUACGUAGCCGACCUGAGAGGGUAAUCGGCCACAUUGGGACUGAGACACGGCCCAAACUCCUACGGGAGGCAGCAGUAGGGAAUCUUCCACAAUGGACGAAAGUCUGAUGGAGCAACGCCGCGUGAGUGAAGAAGGGUUUCGGCUCGUAAAACUCUGUUGUUAAAGAAGAACAUAUCUGAGAGUAACUGUUCAGGUAUUGACGGUAUUUAACCAGAAAGCCACGGCUAACUACGUGCCAGCAGCCGCGGUAAUACGUAGGUGGCAAGCGUUGUCCGGAUUUAUUGGGCGUAAAGCGAGCGCAGGCGGUUUUUUAAGUCUGAUGUGAAAGCCUUCGGCUCAACCGAAGAAGUGCAUCGGAAACUGGGAAACUUGAGUGCAGAAGAGGACAGUGGAACUCCAUGCGUAGCGGUGAAAUGCGUAGAUAUAUGGAAGAACACCAGUGGCGAAGGCGGCUGUCUGGUCUGUAACUGACGCUGAGGCUCGAAAGUAUGGGUAGCAAACAGGAUUAGAUACCCUGGUAGUCCAUACCGUAAACGAUGAAUGCUAAGUGUUGGAGGGUUUCCGCCCUUCAGUGCUGCAGCUAACGCAUUAAGCAUUCCGCCUGGGGAGUACGGCCGCAAGGCUGAAACUCAAAGGAAUUGACGGGGGCCCGCACAAGCGGUGGAGCAUGUGGUUUAAUUCGAAGCUACGCGAAGAACCUUACCAGGUCUUGACAUACUAUGCAAAUCUAAGAGAUUAGACGUUCCCUUCGGGGACAUGGAUACAGGUGGUGCAUGGUUGUCGUCAGCUCGUGUCGUGAGAUGUUGGGUUAAGUCCCGCAACGAGCGCAACCCUUAUUAUCAGUUGCCAGCAUUAAGUUGGGCACUCUGGUGAGACUGCCGGUGACAAACCGGAGGAAGGUGGGGAUGACGUCAAAUCAUCAUGCCCCUUAUGACCUGGGCUACACACGUGCUACAAUGGAUGGUACAACGAGUUGCGAACUCGCGAGAGUAAGCUAAUCUCUUAAAGCCAUUCUCAGUUCGGAUUGUAGGCUGCAACUCGCCUACAUGAAGUCGGAAUCGCUAGUAAUCGCGGAUCAGCAUGCCGCGGUGAAUACGUUCCCGGGCCUUGUACACACCGCCCGUCACACCAUGAGAGUUUGUAACACCCAAAGUCGGUGGGGUAACCUUUUAGGAACCAGCCGCCUAAGGUGGGACAGAUGAUUAGGGUG
rnacentral:rRNA from 2 species